AUGCAUCUACUUGUUAAUAAUGAUGUUAAAUUUCCUGAUGGGAUUGCAAAGAUGCAAGCACUAGAGACGUUGAAAACUGUCGGUGCCUCCAUUCAGCCAUUAGACUUCCUGUGCGGCCUUGGUCAGCUAAUGAAUUUGAGGAAUCUGCGGAUUGACCAUGACUUCGAAUUUGAUUCGGACACUGUGGAUACAAAUAUGGUUGGGGAGGAGCACAACAAAGCUAUUGUCUCCUCCCUGUGUAAGCUAGGCACCCAUAAUCUCCACUCCCUGAAUAUUGGGUUUGGGCGCAGCCUCUUACAUGAGGAAUCUUUGUGCCUGCCUACCCUCGAGGACCUUUCUAUCUGUUUUUCGGCCUUCCCACAGGUUCCGACAUGGGUGGGCUCCCUAAGAAACCUCCAACGGCUAUGCCUUCGUGUGGAGGGGCUCAAGCAGGACGACCUCUCCACCCUUGGGUCUUUACCCAGUCUGCUCGUUCUGUAUCUGGGGGAAACAAUAGAGUCAAAUAAAAAGCUCAGAAUCAGUGGUGAAGUUGGGUUCCGAUUCUUGAAUACUUUUAUUUACCGCGGAUGUUCUAAAACAGUAGAUCUGAUGUUUGGGACAGGGUCCAUGCCUAAUCUGGAAAGACUAGAGCUUCAUCAGUUUCGCCUGGUUGAAGCUAACUCUCUCGGCUUUGGAAUUGAGAACCUCCCUUGCCUCACUAGUGUCAAAUGCACUCAUGUUAGGGGUGAUGAUGGCAUUUUUGAAGCCGUGAAGACUGCCAUGGAGAGAGCAGCCAGCACACAUCCCAACCACCCUAGUCUACUGAUUCUGGAGUUUAAUACUCAUGUCUAG
rnacentral:rRNA from 1 species